CUACGGGCUGCACCAGUGAGGAAUAUUGCACAAUGGGGGGAACCCUGAUGCAGCAACGCCGCGUGGAGGAUGACGCAUUUCGGUGUGUAAACUCCUUUUAUAUGUCAAGAAAAUGACGGUAGCAUAUGAAUAAGCACCGGCUAACUCCGUGCCAGCAGCCGCGGUAAUACGGAGGGUGCAAGCGUUACUCGGAAUCACUGGGCGUAAAGGACGCGUAGGCGGGUUGGAAAGUCAGGUGUGAAAUCCUACAGCUUAACUGUAGAACUGCACUUGAAACUUCUAAUCUAGAGUAUGGGAGGGGGAGAUGGAAUUAGUGGUGUAGGGGUAAAAUCCGUAGAUAUCACUAGGAAUACCUAAAGCGAAGGCGAUCUCCUGGAACAUUACUGACGCUAAGGCGUGAAAGCGUGGGGAGCAAACAGGAUUAGAUACCCCGGUAGUC
rnacentral:rRNA from 1 species